GGGGCGGAGGCUACGCAGGCGGCGGCCGCCGCGCAGGCCGGUGCCGCUCGGCUGCCCUCGGCCCUCGUCAGCCCUCGCCAGCGGGCCCGCGGUGGGGCGGGAGGGAGGGAGGGGGAAAGUCCGCGCGGCAGAGGGCGCGGGCGGCGCCGGCGGCGUCACGCCGGUUACAUGGCGCGGCGCUGAGGGACGCGCGGCCGGGACCCGCCAACGGCAGACGACGACGACGAGGAGGCGCCGCUAGCCCAGCCCUGCCCCGGGACUUAAAAUGGCAGGAGAAGAUUCCUAUAUUAUGGGAGUGUCUGAUCCUCAGAUGUUUGCAAUGGACCAGUUCAUGGGAAUGAAUGCAUUAUUUAAUAAUACAAAUUACAUCACUUCAGACUUACCACUACGAACAGCAGAUGGACCAUAUCUUCAAAUCAUAGAACAGCCAAAACAGAGGGGGUUUCGUUUCCGAUACGUAUGCGAAGGGCCUUCACAUGGUGGACUUCCUGGUGCUUCUAGUGAAAAGAACAAAAAAUCAUACCCUCAGGUCAAAAUCUGCAAUUACGUUGGACCUGCAAAAGUAAUCGUCCAGUUAGUUACUAAUGGGAAAUAUGUCCACUUACACGCUCACAGCUUGGUGGGUAAAUUUUGUGAAGAUGGAGUAUGCACAGUUAAUGCAGGACCUAAAGAUAUGGUUGUAGGGUUUGCAAAUCUUGGAAUACUUCAUGUCACAAAGAAGAAAGUGUUUGAAACUCUGGAAACACGCAUGAUAGAUGCUUGUAAAAAAGGAUACAACCCAGGACUCCUGGUGCAUCCUGAACUUGGCUAUCUGCAGGCAGAAGGAUGUGGAGACAGACAGCUAACUGAACGAGAAAGGGAAAUUAUUCGUCAGGCAGCAGUACAGCAGACUAAAGAAAUGGAUCUCAGUGUGGUGCGUCUUAUGUUUACAGCCUUUCUUCCUGAUAGUAAUGGUAGUUUCACACGGAAACUUGAUCCUGUUAUAUCAGAUGCAAUAUAUGACAGCAAAGCUCCCAAUGCCUCCAACUUAAAAAUCGUAAGAAUGGACAGAACAGCAGGGUGUGUAACAGGAGGGGAAGAGAUUUACCUUCUCUGUGACAAGGUUCAGAAAGAUGAUAUUCAAAUACGUUUCUAUGAAGAGGAUGAGAAUGGUGGUAUGUGGGAAGGCUUUGGAGACUUUUCUCCUACAGAUGUACAUAGACAGUUCGCUAUUGUGUUCAAAACACCCAAGUAUAGAGAUGUCAAUAUCACAAAGCCAGCAUCUGUAUUUGUACAACUGCGUCGGAAAUCUGAUCUAGAAACGAGCGAACCAAAGCCUUUUCUCUACUAUCCGGAAAUCAAAGAUAAAGAAGAAGUGCAAAGGAAACGACAGAAGCUCAUGCCAAACUUCUCUGAUGGCUAUGGUGGAGGCAGUGGCGCAGGAGGCGGUGGCAUGUAUGGAGGGGGAGGUGGCAGUGCUGGCUCUGGGUUCAGUUACCCUUCAUAUGGAUACUCUGCUUUUGGAGGGAUGCAUUUCCACCCUGGCACAACAAAGUCCAAUGCUGGAAUGAAGCAUGGACUGUCAAGUAGCACAGCUGAACAAGAUGGGAAGAGCUCUGAUAAACAAAGCGACAAAUGGGACAUGAAACAUGAUGUGAAAGUGGAAACUAUGGAGAGGACCAAGUGCAGAACUUCUGCUGAUAAUGAGGAGGAGGAGGAUGCUGCUUCUUCCUGUAAAACUCAAGUAGAUGAAGCAGAUUGCAGGUGGCAGGAUGGUCUGUUCCUGGAGAAGGCCAUGCAGCUUGCCAAGCGUCACUGCAAUGCUCUCUUUGAUUAUGCUGUAACUGGAGAUGUGAAGAUGCUGUUGGCUGUUCAGCGCCAUCUCACUGUUGUCCAGGAUGAUAAUGGAGACAAUGUCCUUCAUUUAGCAAUUAUCCACCUUCAUACCGAGCUGGUGAAAAACCUCUUGGAAGUGAUGCCUGAUCUGAAUUAUAAUGACAUCAUUAACAUGAGAAACGACCUUUAUCAGACCCCUUUGCACCUGGCAGUAAUCACAAAGCAGGCAGAGGUGGUGGAAGACUUGCUGAAGGCUGGAGCAGAUGUCAGCCUUCUGGAUCGCCAUGGUAAUUCUGUCUUGCAUUUAGCUGCUACUGAAGGAGAUGAAAAGAUUUUGCGUCUACUCCUCAAGCAUAAGAGGAUAUCUCCGAUGGUCGACCUUUCCAAUGGUGAAGGUCUCAGUGCAAUUCACAUGGUGGUGAUGGCAAAUAGCAUGUCCUGCCUCAAACAGCUGAUUGCUGCUGGAGUUAACGUCAAUGCUCAGGAACAAAAAUCUGGACGAACUGCAUUGCAUUUAGCUGUUGAACAAGAGAACAUCCCUUUGGCGGGCUGCCUUUUGCUUGAGGGUGAUGCAGAUGUGGACAGCACUACAUAUGAUGGGACAACUCCUCUUCACAUAGCAGCUGGAAGGGGCUCUACAAAAUUGGCAGCAGUUCUCAAAGCAGCAGGUGCAAAUCCUCAUGUUGAGAACUUUGAGCCAUUGUUUGAUCUAGAUGAUGUGAAAGAUGAUGAAGAUGACGAUGAAGGGAUUGUGCCUGGAACGACACCACUGGAUAUGGCGGCCAGCUGUGAGGUGUAUGACAUAUUAAACGGCAAACCGUACGAGUCAGCAGCGGUUUCAGAGGACUUACUGACACAAGGACAUUUGAGAGAGCUGAAUGAAAGUUCCAAGAUGCAGCUUUACAAACUAUUGGAAUUGCCCGAUCCAAAGAAAAACUGGUCCACUCUAGCACAAAAACUGGGUCUUGGCAUACUUAAUAAUGCCUUCAGGCUGAGCCCUUCCCCAUCGAAAACUCUGCUAGAUAACUAUGAGGUUUCUGGUGGUACAGUUCAAGAGUUGAUUGCUGCUUUGAGACAGAUGGAUCACACAGAAGCCAUUGAAAUCAUACAGAAAGCACUAGCCAUCUCACAAAGCCCACCUCACCUGGAGGACAAUACCGCAAAAGCUCUUCCGUCAUCAUCACCACCCACCUUUACAAAUGGAGAGACAGGUGACCUUUAUAACAGCAAAUUUCAGGACAACGAAAGCGUGUGUGACAGUGGUGUGGAGACCUCCCUCCGCAAACUGAGCUUUACUUAUUCAGACUCUCUGAACAGCAAGUCAUCAGUAACACUUAGCAAAAUGACCCUGGGCUAUGGACAUGAAAGUUCAGUGCAAAGCAAUUAUAUAGCCAACUAGUAAUAUUCAAUAAGCAAUAUGCAGUUACAGGAACGAAUGUGACAUUUAAAAUUACAUCCGUGUGAUCCUGGCCAGAGGGAAGUGAAUUUACAACCAAAAGCACGCUGGAGGAACCACACGUGAACCUGAACCAAUGGCGACUUCAGCACAUGACUCCUAGCCGUUGCUUCCUUCCUCAAAUACAUUUAAAUUUUAUUCAUUUACAAGCCAUAUACAAUAACCAGGGCUCUACUGCCGCAUUAAUACACAGGACUGGACACUGUGAAUGACUGACUGAGCUUCUCUGGUUUGCGAGGAUGUCCUUUUAUAGAUGAAAGUUGCUCUUUGUUAAUGUAUAAUACCAACUCACUUAAUAAAAAGAGGUAAGGCAAUCAAGAUAAGAGCAAUCAAAGGAUACUGUUUCUAGCUGCUCUCUUCAUAAUUUUUGCAGCACAGUUGCAUGAAAAAAGCUCAUAAAAUAGUGGCAAAGAAAAAAAAUCAUUAAUCACAGUGACAACUCAGAGAAAAAAGAAUCCUAAAAAAAAAAACAUCUUGUAUAUUUCAAAUAAUGUAUUUAAACUUAACUUGGGUGCCUCUUAUUAAAAAAAUUUUCAAGUUUGGCAUUUUCCUACUUGUAAAUAGUUUUUUUUAUAUCUGUUCCUUUAAAAAAAAAAAAAGUGCUUUUUAAAUGCUUAUUUUUAUUUUACUUUUAUAAUAAAAACCCAAAAUGAAAUCUCUUGUCUACACUUGCUGUAAUUUUUACAUAUCUUUCAAGUAGCGUUAUUGAAGAUUUAGGUAUUGAUACAAGAUUAUACUGAUUUCCAAGUGCUAAAAUAAAUCAAGGGUUGCAAGCCACCUGUCUUAAAGCUUAACUAUAUUUUAUGGUGGGAGACCAGGAGCAUCCGCUACUGCUGAGCAGCUGUGCUUUGGAACUAAAGGUGCUGAUUCAUGGUCUCUUUUAGGUCUCUUCUCAUAAUUAUGGCAGCAGAGAAUCAUUUACCAACUGAAACCAACUAUUUAGCAUCUCAGCAAAGCUCUGAUGAGACAGUUCUUUGGGCUAUCUAGAAACUCCUCUAAUAACUGUGUUCCUGAGCAGUAUUUCUUCCUGUUGCAAGUUAAAUUGAGAUGGAAACCACCUGAGGGCUGGCUCACACCAUCGCUCCUUUACAGUUGUUGAGGAAGGGAGCUGAAGCCUGCAGUGCUGAAUGCUUAAAUCCUGGUAUAUCACAUGCUAGUUGGUAAGACAGAAUCACAGGGCCAGCAUGCCAGAGUACUACUAUGUAUCUAGCUAGCUUAUUUACUACAGGCAAAGGAGGACUGCUACAAGACAAGAGAGAUAAGCUACAAUGCUGGCAAAAGCCUGGUGAUCACAAUGUUUGCAAAGAGGUAUAAGAGGACAGCAUUUAAGGUUUUGAUUUUUCACCACCAUGGAAAAGGACCAAAACUUUCCGCUCCGGCAUCUGACAAUGGCACGCUUCCCCACAAGGCCACCUGCUCAACAGACAGCUCUCAUUCUUAUUUAGAGCUCCUGUUCUGGAUUACCCAACUCCUCACUGGACCAUAGAGCCUGGCUCAAUCCACAGGCCACUGGUUCUAAUAUGCAAGGGUAAAGUCCCUUCUACCACUGCCAUUCCCCUCGACAGGGUCAACCAGGUCCCCUGCCAGCCACAAAGUG